rnacentral:lncRNA from 1 species
GGUGUUGGGCCCCGACCCCGACCCCGACCCCUCCCCGGUCACCGGUCCGGGAGGUUGUGCGCACGCCAGCAUCCGCAGUACCUUUGGUCCAACGUAUGUCACGACUCUGGCACUCUGAUCAUACUCCGACUUCAGUCGCCAUGACUACAUGCGCCUCCAGGGGCCUCCCCUGUACGCCUCCUUUCACCUCUACGCCACUAAGGGCCACUACCUGCACACGCCUCCUCUCGUGCUCAGCAUUACAACACCGUACGUUGCGUCCCCUGUCAGUUGACUCCCUUAGGGGCACGCCCCAUGGAUCGCAUGGCGGUCCGCUAGUACCGCUACGUGUUUACCGCAUAGCUAGCACAAGUAACAGUUUUACAGACUGACUGCGUAACCCUAGUUUUGCCGCUUCAUCAUCAGCCCUAAUGCCCCUGUACAAUACCCUUUCCAUACCCCCUCGCAAUUCCCAGCUAUGGCCGGGUGCGCACGGACCGGGUUAGACGGUGAGCGACCGAUGCUGCCGUACACAGCAGUGCUGUCACGCCAGCUCGUGUGACCGGACACGGCGAGGGAUAGUGCCGGGAAAGCUGCCUAACGUCAGGGUUAGGGUUGUUGCGGCUGUCGGGUUUAGGGCAGUGUCAGUGCGGAACGGGUGCCUCCCGGGCUCCGGACGGUAGAAGGCUGAGUCAUUGCUAGCCUUACUUUGUUGUGCUUUAUGAGUGUGAAGUACGUUGGAACGCAGUUUGUAGAUGCCGUUAUGACGUGGUUAUGACGCGGCUAAGGAUUUGCGUAUCCGGAUGAGGCGAUUCCCCCUUGGGGCGAUUCCCCCUUGGGGCGGUUGUUUGUGUGGUCACUAGCUCGAGACGACUUGUUCUGUCUCGAGCUCUCUGGUACGGCUUGCUGGUUAGCGAUUUCACAGACAGAACCCCGCUGCGCCUAUACACGGCCAGCGGUAAUACGCGUUUAGCUCGGAAUGUGCCUAAUUGCCAGCCUACCCCAAUUUGGCCCACUUGCCCGUGCGGCUGGCCCGCACGGAUUCAGAGCCUGCCUGAUUUAAUAUUGCAUGCUUAUAUUAUAUAAGGAUUAUCCAAGGACUGGGAGGCCAGUAAGAGGCCGAUUCCCGACCAGUCCCCGAAAACGGCCCUGCGCGCCCGCCCGAUUAUUUGGCCCACUCGCCAGAGCCCACGCCCUGGUCCUCAAAAGCCUGCCUGACCGCCCAGUUCUCUGCAUAUAUAUUAUCAUUUACAUGUAAGUGAUAGCUUAGCAAGCUUAAAUGGGUAAACUAGGGCUGGCCCUGCCGGGCUCGGUGCGGCGGGUGCCACUCCGGCAAGUGCCUGGGGACUGCAUGAUUCCAGGCCCCUAUAGCAUCGAAAUGGCAUCAUGUGACAUAUGUAAAGGUCUCUGGACGGUUUCUGGACAUAAAUUGUAGCGAAAACAGAAGUCAAAAUGUCAAAUGUCGCGCUCGCUAGGACCCAGCCAAUUCGCCUCGAAGCUAUCUAGCUUACAUCUAAGUGUGCAGAUAUAUCGACGGCAUGAAAUCCAGGAACAAAACACCGCCUAUGCGAGAUAUGGCAUGUGGAGCAGACGGACUGCAGGUUGCCUGGUCUGCGCAUUUAAUAUCUUAUGAUGUUUGUCCUUUAGUGAUUUGUGCAAGCCAGAAUGCGCCUGCAGACGACAAACAAAACAACAUGCUGAGCAUUCAAGGCGCGAUGUGCACCCAGAACACUCCCAAUCCUGCCCGGACGGUUGCAACAAUCCUCAUAUGACAUCUAUAGGGUAUCGAAAUCGGCAAAUCGCCAGCAGGGAUGACCAAAACGCCUCGCGGCCCGGUGGGCCAAUUUGGGGUCGCCCCUCAGUUUUCCCCCCAAAACCCGGCCCCCAGAAUUGACUCGCCCACCGCGCCCUUUUGACCCCCAACCCGUGCAAUAAUCUUAUAUAGUGCUUACAUCAAUAUUUAGGCAAGCGUGGGCGCCUAGGAAGCCCUGUAGCGGUCUGGGCCAAAAGUGGGCCAAAUAUGGCACAUUCCGAGCUAACCAACAAGAGGUCUUACACGAAUCGAUAUCUCGCCAACCUAAAUUAGUCUGUGCGCUCAGCAAGGGGCAGUGAGCCACGCAGCACCACAUCAGCCAGGGCACGUCAGGAAUGCGUUAUCACGCGUUAGGGCGUGACAGUGCCGCUGCUGAGCUGUGAGGGGCGCCGCAGGGUCCAGCUGCCGCACAUGCCGGCUGCGUGCCCGUGCUGGGAGCUGCCGUGGGCGGGCUGACGGGUCACGCUCGUUGCCAGCCACGGUUGCCGGCACCCUCCGGCACACGCACGCUCGUAGUCACGGAUCAGGGCUAUCGGGUUGCCAUACGCGGUCGCGGAGACCUGCACGCUCGGGCUGCCGCUCACGAUUGCGGGGAUCAGGGCUCUCAGUUUGCCAUAUGCAGUCGCGGAGACUCAUAGCAAACGGCUACAGGGAUAGAAGACCAUUAUUCUGCCUUCCACCUGUUGGCGUGCCCCGGCCCCCGCAGGGGGCGCGGCGCACCCAUACGUUUCAGAAAGCGGCAGUUGGCAAAGAGUUGCACAACACGUGUUCCCCGCUCCCGCCGAGUGCAUACAAGCAAUAUUUAAGGCCUCCGUCACACGAAGCUGUUGCACAUCAGGAAGAAGAGGCCCCAGCGACGAAGUUCAGAUACCUGGCUCGAACCCGACCGUGAAAGUGACUGAUGCUGAAACAGGUAAUACUGAUGCUGACACAUGUAAUAUACGCUUAAACGCAUAGAAUGGAGUCCGAUGCCUCAACAAAGUCAAUGUUGAGGCCGAUUGUAUCGCAAAGGCUGGUGCUGUUCGAAUUGAUUUAUGAGGUUCAUAAAUUGCUCUAAAAUAAGCACUUGUGAACCUUUCAGAAGCCUCGUAGGCGUGUCAGCUGCGAGCGCGAUCAUGUGUCCUUAAUACAGCCGCGCUGGCAGCCCCAUGUAGUGAGACCAAUAAAUCUGAGACUCGUUCAUCAUUAUACUUGUAAAACGUAUAGGGCUGAACGGUUUCGCCGCAACUUGAACUUCGCGACGUCCAACCGUCCGACGCACAGGCGCCCCGACCCUUCAGCACCGGCACUCAGAUCACAUAUUACGUGUAGUGGAGUCUGCAGCUCGCGAUGGGGGACGGUUUGACGGGUUUUGAUGGGGGGGGUGGUUCGGCAGAGCUGCGGGCACGCGGGGGGAAGUCCGCGCGCGACCUCGCAAUUUGACAUGCCGUUGGCCCAGCUAAUAAUAUUACAUAAAUACGUAAGUACUCAGAAGCUGUGCGGGCGAACACGAGCGAUUCUGCGUCCAUUGGAUCCCAUUUCCCCAGAUCGGCCCAGAUGAGGUGCUGCGCCCCGACCCCACACGGGUAUGACGCCGGUCUGAAGAGGGGCAAAAACGUGUCCACACGUGUUUCUCCACGCUCGCGUAGACUUAGCCUCCCUCUUUCAGGAAUUGACUUAUAUGACAUAUAAGGAUGUAAAAGUUUGACUCCCGUCGCAUUCUGCGAGGGUGGCUGUCACCACAUUUCGCGAGGCAUGCUUUCGCCAGGGUCGCACUCUUAAGCCCGGGAGCAUGUUUCUAGUCUCCUUGCAUGUAUGUUUGAUGACGACCACAAUAAUUGGCAUCAAAGCGCGGUAAUUGCGCAGACUUGAGAAGCCUGUUCACCGCGACGUCACCGAAUAGGCCGCAAACAAAAUAUUUGAGGUCUCUAUAGUAUCAAGGUGAUACUUGUAGAACGCUGGUAGCUCAUUCGGAGGUCGGCCUGACGACCGUCGCCGACCGUGCCAAGCUGGGCGGAACGCAUCCCCCGGACGCCACGCGAGCUAGACCAGUCUAGGCCGUGUCGUCCGCCCGGGACCACGUUGGCCGUGCCUUAAAUGGGUGACCUAUAGCCGGAGUUUGGGGAUCGGACGACAAGGCCAAGGCAGGUAACCAGGCUGUGCCGUUUGACCCCUCUCCCAGACCGGCGUCAUACCCGUGUGCCCCGACCCCGACCCCGACCCCAACCCCAACCCCUCCCCUAUGUGCACGCCAGCAUCCGCAGUACCUUUGGUCCAACGUAUGUUACGACUCUGGCACUCAGAUCAUACUGAGACUUCAGUCGCCAUUUCUACACCAAAGUUCUACGCCACUAAGGGCCACUACACGCACACGCUUCCUCUCGUGCUCGGCAUUAUAACACCGUACGUUCCGUCCCAUGUCACUUGACUCCCUUAGGGGCACGCCCCAUGGAACGCAUGGCGGUCCGCUAGUCUGUCCAUGCAUCGCAUCAGCGUUUGGUUGAGA